UACGUAGGGUGCAAGCGUUAAUCGGAAUUACUGGGCGUACAGCGUGCGCAGGCGGUUUUGUAAGACCGUUGUGAAAUCCCCGGGCUCAACCUGGGAACUGCAUCUGUGACUGCAUAGCUAGAGUACGGUAGAGGGGGAUGGAAUUCCGCGUGUAGCAGUGAAAUGCGUAGAUAUUGGGAGGAACACCAGUGGCGAAGGCGGCUCACUGGACCGGAACUGACGCUGAGGCGCGAAAGCGUGGGGAGCAAACGGG
rnacentral:rRNA from 1 species